GAUGAAGAACGCAGCGAAAUGCGAUAAGUAAUGUGAAUUGCAGAAUUCAGUGAAUCAUCGAAUCUUUGAACGCACAUUGCGCCCCUUGGUAUUCCGAGGGGCAUGCCUGUUCGAGCGUCAUUAUAACCCUCAAGCUCAGCUUGGUGUUGGGACUCGCGUUAAUUCGCGUUCCUCAAAUUGAUUGGCGGUCACGUCGAGCUUCCAUAGCGUAGUAGUAAAACCCUCGUUACUGGUAAUCGUCGCGGCCACGCCGUUAAACCCCAACUUCUGAAUGUUGACCUCGGAUCAGGUAGGAAUACCCGCUGAACUUAAGCAUAUCAAUAAGCGGAGGA
rnacentral:misc_RNA from 1 species